rnacentral:rRNA from 1 species
UACGAAGGUGGCAAGCGUUGUUCGGAUUUACUGGGCGUAAAGGGCGCGUAGGCGGUUGGAUAAGCCCUCCGUGAAAUCUCCAGGCUUAACCUGGAAAGUGCAGAGGGGACUGUUCAGCUAGAGGAUGGGAGAGGAGCGCGGAAUUCCCGGUGUAGCGGUGAAAUGCGUAGAGAUCCGGAGGAACACCAGAGGCGAAGGCGGCCUGCUGGGCUGCACCUGACGCUGAACCGCGAAAGCCAGGGGAGCGAAUGGG